GCAAACUUGGUCAUUUAGAGGAAGUAAAAGUCGUAACAAGGUCUCCGUAGGUGAACCUGCGGAGGGAUCAUUACCAGAUGGCAAUUUUUUUGCCCUUCCCUUUUGACCUGAGGAUGUCGAAGCUUGCUUUGGCGCCGUUGGCGCCAGAUUUAUGCUGAAAGUGUAUUGGCUCUGGAAAAUAAUUGAAAAUGAAAACUUUCAACAAAGGAUCUCUUGGCUCUUGCAUCGAUGAAGAACGCAGC
rnacentral:misc_RNA from 1 species